rnacentral:misc_RNA from 1 species
CAGCAAAGUCCACACACUUUCAGCAGCGGCGGCUGGCAGCCCUCAGCAACAAAGAAAAAUAUUCCCCUACGGAAUUUGAGAGGGCGUGGUGCAAAAUAGCCCCCUGCGUGAAGGUCCAGAAGAGUACUGCAGGUGUGCAUCAUCUUAAUCGCUCUCACAUAUCUUGCGAGUGAGGCGUUGUUCUAGAUCCAUUUUGAUUACAUUUCCUUAUUGUUUGCACUGUUGAGAAAUUCGCGUGUUUGUCACUAUGGAAAUGUGAUGCGUAUGUUGUUUAUUUGUACUGUUAUGAUCGGGCCAAGGAUUCAAAGGGUUUAGGGUUUUCUGGGGGACUUUGAAGUUUCUGUAUGUGAAAUUAAGCUGGAUUUUUUUUUCCCUUUGUUUUUAAAUGAAAUUCAUUAAUUCAAUGGUUCGAAACUUGUCUGGUGCUGCGUAGGAAAUGCUUCUACUUAAACUGAUUGUUAUGCCUAGAUGCCUUCUGGAACAAGUCAAUUUUAGUUUUUAUCUCAUCCUUAAUUUUACUUACUGAUAGAAUCCCCCCAUCGAAUUUGAGUGCAAUAUAGUGGUUUAGUCCCCAAAAUUAUACAAGAUCAAUGAAGAAUGUAUCUCAUGUUGUUUAAUUGAGUUUGGAAUGAGUUUUUGGAUGAAAAGUAAAUGCAUUAAUUGAUUAUUAGUUUUAUGUUGUGAGUACUACUCGAAUUUUCUUACUGUCGGUCGCUCAAGUAAACAGAUCCUUUACGUAGGUUUUAGUUUAUAUCCGUAAAUAUUUGCAUGGGUUUUAUUAUGUGAUGACGUCAUUAUUCAAAAGCUGUUAUUUAGGUUGCUCAGCCUGUGUGUUUGAGGUUGAUGACCCAUUGGCCGGUUCUUAGACAUUAAUUGUGAUAAAGGAUGGGAUGAUACCUGCUAGCUUGUUUGCAUUUUCACUGGCAUGUAUUGGCUGGCUUGCAAUUAGGGUGAGAUUUUAUUAUUCGAUUAUAGAGAAGUAUAUUCAAACUAUGUAUUAGAAAUUAUUAAAAGAACAACCUAAGAAAACGCAUAAAUUUUUUUGGAAAGCUAAUCUCUAUUUAACUAUUCAGUGAAUUAGAUGAACUAUAAUAAUAUAUGCGGACGUGAACUCAUGUUGAUUUCUUGUGUACGUUGCCAAAGUUUUUAUCAAGAUUUUCUUCUUGUCAUUAGAUGUAAGAUUUGCUGAACAUAUUUGGGUUGAGCGAUAAGUAUGAUGCAAGGUUAAGUAUAUAAUAAACGAUUGAGUUUAAGAACAUGAUCUAGCUAAUGAUUAAUGCUUAGUGACUAUUUAUACAAGAUAUUAAACUAUAAGUCAAAUGCUCAAAAUGGGUCCACUCUACAAUGGUCAAUUUGUUUGAAGGUCAAGUGUCAAACUAAUUGUUGAUGGUAUAUUUAUAUCUAGACCAAAUUAUGGUCCUUUGAAGUUUGAGGGAGUUUCUAGCUUGACAGUGUUAAUCUCUUUCUCAUCCCUCUACCUUUUGCUUGCAUACUGGUAUGGGAUGCAUGCAUGCUCAAGAGGAAGCUUAUUAAAGUCUGGGUUUUUGAUAGGCAGAAAUCCAUGAGAAGAAUAUCUAGAGCAGAUGGUAGCAGUUAUAAACUUGGAGUGUCAAGAAAGCAUACCUGGCCUUUGCUGGAAAGUUAAAAGCAUAACUUAUAUAUUUGUUCAUGUGUGUAAUUUCUUAGCUAUUUUCAACCCAGGUUACUGUAUGGGUGUACUGCCUUUCACUUGAAAAUUUCUGGGGUUUUAAGGGUUUAUACUUUGACUACUUUCUUAAGCUGAUUCUUCAGUGAGAAUUUCAAGUAUAAUAUCCUGGUUGUGAUGUGAAACUGAUGAAUGUUUGUCAAAUAUGGAGGAGACAUGCUUCUCAUGUGCGAUGGUUUGUUGCAUGGUUGGUGUUGUCCAUCAGUACUGACUCUGCAUUCCAUACUUGAACGAGCUACGUAAUUCUCCACUGGGGAAAUGUUUCAGUUGAAGAAAUGUGUCCUGUAUAUUUAUGUGGUAUUCUUUGGGAUGCAGUGAUUGUUAGUUUGACAGGUGGUUGUUGGGCAAGGAUUUUAUUGUAGUGUUGGAAAUUGGUGUCUUUGUUUGAAGGUUAAAGGUUUGAGUAUGAGGUGAACCAAUGGGGAUAAUUUUGGAUGUAAUUAAUGUUCACAGGAAAGCUGCCGAAGCUGUGGAGUGUUGGUUUGUGCUUGUGGAUCAGUGGUGGUGACGUGAAUAGUAGGAGGUUUGAAGAUGAGUUCACGUAGUAGGAGCAAUAGCAGGAGUCGGAGUACGAGUCGGAGCCAGAGUAGGAGCCGGAGCAGGAGUCCCCAAGAUCGCAGAAUUCAAUCUCGUCGCCAUUCUUAUCGUAAUGCUCCUUAUAGGAGAGAGACGCAUCGUGGUUUCAGCCAAAGCAAUUUGUGCAACAAGUGCAAGCGUCCUGGUCAUUUUGCAAGAGAAUGCCCCAAUGUAGCUGUGUGUAACAAUUGUGGUCUUCCUGGGCAUAUUGCAUCAGAAUGCACCACACAGUUGCGGUGUUGGAAUUGUCGGGAACCUGGGCAUGUUGCUAGUAACUGUCCCAAUGAGGGCAUCUGUCAUUCAUGUGGCAAGUCUGGA